rnacentral:tRNA from 1 species
GCUCCCAUAGCUCAGCUGGUAGAGCGCUUCCAUGGUAAGGAAGAGGUCACCGGUUCAAGUCCGGUUGGGAGCUCCA